GAUGAAGAACGCAGCGUAAUGCGAUAAGUAAUGUGAAUUGCAGAAUUCAGUGAAUCAUCGAAUCUUUGAACGCGCAUUGCGCCCCCUGGUAUUCCGGGGGGCAUGCCUGUCCGAGCGUCAUUACAACCCUCAAGCUCAGCUUGGUGUUGGGCCCCGCCGCCCCGGCGGGCCCUAAAGUCAGUGGCGGUGCCGUCCGGCUCCGAGCGUAGUAAUUCUUCUCGCUCUGGAGGUCCGGUCGUGUGCUCGCCAGCAACCCCCAAUUUUUUUCAGGUUGACCUCGGAUCAGGUAGGGAUACCCGCUGAACUUAAGCAUAUCAAUAAGCGGAGGA
rnacentral:misc_RNA from 1 species